UCCUGGCCUGAGUAGCAGGAUGCCAAAAUGUUGCGCGAUUUUUAACAGAAUUUCCGAAAAAGUAGGGGGGAGGCUUAACAGGUUUUAAGUUGUCUUGCUUUUCUCAGAGCAGCACAAAACGGUGCUGAAAUAGUUGACCAUACACAGGUAGGCUUUUGCUUCAAAUCCUAUUGUAACAAUUGGAUGACAUUGGGAGUUUCAGUAAGCAACAAUUUGUUGCCUUCAUUAGCCUACUCUAUUCUUAAAAUAACUCCAGCACAUAAAAGAGAAAGGAGCCUUAAUUAAUUAAACAAUAAAGUGAUUUAAUUCAAAAAUGCAUUUGACUGUACUUAAUAUUGGCCAUCAACCAGAAACACACCGUGGUAGAAACAUGUUAUUGAUUAUUAUUUUAUUUUUACUAUUUCAAAAUGCACACAUUUAGUAAGCUACUGUGCAGUCUGACAGGUAAACGUAGCCCACAGUACAUAGUAAACAUAGCCCACAGUACAUAGUAAACAAUGCAAAGAUGCUUCAUUCCUUACAUAAGGGAGAGCAGGCCAUGUCAAGACUUUCUCAGUGACCUCAAGUACUCAUUAACUCUGUCUUGAAUGUUUUUUUCGGGAUGCAUCUGUAUUGGUCACAGACGUUGAAAUUUUGUGCGAUUUUUAACAAAAAGCUGCAAAAAUUCGCAGCCUCCUUAAUUAACAGGUUUUAAUGAUGAACACCUGGAGGUUCACUGGUCAUCCACAUUUGCCUCGGGAUCCAUCCCAGUUGGGGCGGCAUGUAGUCUAGUGGUUAGAGUGUUGGGCCAGUAACCGGAAGGUUGUUGAAUCAAAUCCCUGAGCUGACAAGGUAAAAAUCUGUUGUUCUGUCCCUGAACAAGGCAGUUAACCCACUGUUCCUAGGACAUCAUUGGAAAUAAGAAUUUGUUCUUAAAUGACUUGUCUAGUUAAAAAAAUACAAGUAUCUGUCUCUACAAAUAAUGAGUGAUACUGAUUCACGUGCACCUUCAUCAGAUGAGCAGUAUGGUACUGCUCUGCGUCCCCAUCGAUUGUUGUGUCCUAUGAUAGAAAUGGUAGAUCAAUUAAGAAUUAAAAGUGACUCCAACACACAAAUUCUGCAUAAUGAAACAUGUUUUAAGAAUGUAGCAAAACCAACCGCUUUCAUGGGAACCAUGUGUUUUAUGGGUGUGGCCCGUUGUCCAGUCCUUUGUCCACCGAUCUCCACGGAUGGUUGUCUGCAUGGUCGUAUGCUCUGCAAGAACACAUUCAUGUUUUUAGUACACAAGUAUCGAUUGUAUUACAUAGUAUGCCUACACAUAUAUAUGUUAAGAAUAUAAUUAAACAUUUUCAUUUCUCUUAGAAUAAAAACCUAAUCUAACUGCAGUUUCAGUAAGUAAUAUGCUACUGUCCAGUUACAGCUUCGUCUGACCAAGUGGAAACAAAAAAAUAGGUGUCUUUUUCGGAAGUGUGUGCAGGACAGAGAAAUAGCAAUACCGACAUUAUUGUUUUACAUUCAAUCACCUUCUUCAUCCUCAUCAUUCAGUUCAUUGAAAUCCAAUUUUGAAUGCACAAUUAUCAGUUCAUAUUUGGUUUAUACCACCCAUUCAUUGACAGCAUUAAUUCAGGUAGAGACACAUUAGACCUUGGGACCCAAAAGCAUAAUCAGUGCUCUGACUCCCCCUUGUGGUGGUCUGGAGCAAUGAUGCAGUAACGCAGGGUAACAUACUAAACCACAAAUGACCUCUAAAUCCUGUGGCAUAACCUCAAAACGUUUAAUAGAGGAACUACAGUCACACAGACACAGGACAGUCUAGGGAGAAGACACAGCUACAAGAUGUAUAUUAGAGUUGAGGUUAGAAGAAUACGUUACUGUAGUUGACCACACUCACAUACGCACACACACAUUAAAUAGGUGAGAGUAACCUGUAGUAUCAUACCGUUAUUUGUCCCAAUCCUGGAUGAUACAGUAAAACACAUUAACAAAGAUCUUUAAUCAUUUGUGAUUCAGUACAUGUUCAGUGGUGGAAGAGACCCUCUGGAGUUGCUGCAGUGUGUCUGGGGCUGCUGUGUGUUCUCCUACUGGCUGGGAUCAUAGGCCUGUCUGUCUACUAUGGAGUCAUUGAUCAUUACGACUCAACCGAGAGAGACCAGCUACAGACCAGUUACAACACCCUGACUGAAGAGAGAGACCAGCUACAGGACAGCAACAGCCUUCUGACUAAAGAGAGAGACCAGCUACAGGACAGCACCAGCCUUCUGACUAAAGAGAGAGACCAGCUACAGACCAGUUACAACAACCUGAUUAAAGUUAGAGACCAGCUACAGACAGAGAGAUUUUCUUAGUGGGAGGCUUACCAAUCUCAACAUUUCUCUUCAACCUCAAGAAGAGAGUCUGGAUUGGUCUGACUGACUCUGUUAUUGAGGGGACCUGGAAAUGGGUGGACGGCACCCCACUGACCACAUGACAGCAUCGUGAGGAAGGCGCAGCAGCGCCUCUUCAACCUCAGGAGGCUGAAG